UCUGUGGCUCACAGAACAGUGACAAGUGACAGCCAGCCACGUGGACACAACAUUACAGCCUACAGUGGAGCCAUUCCAGUAGUCACUGAAUGGAUGGAGGCUUCAGAAAUAUAUCCAUCACAUAAGAGCCUCAAAGACAAAUAACUUUUAAGAGCACUCAAUUUACACAGUCUUUCAUGUAAAUGCUGGACCUGCCACAUCUCCUGCUAAAACCUGCACUGUCUGAAGCUGGAACAGUGUAAGGCAGCUCAGUCAGCAGUCACAACUGCCAGGAGCAGAGAGGACUUGCCCUCAGAAAUACCAAAUAUACCUGUACAUCCUUGAAAAC